rnacentral:antisense_RNA from 1 species
GGUUCCCGUCCGCGGCUCUCCCUCCACACCUCCCCGCAAGCAGAGGGAGCCGGCUCUGGCCUCGGCCAGCUCAGAGACGGGCUCCCACAGUGCAGCGGCAGGCUGAAGGGCUCCUCAAGCACUGCCAGAGUGGACGCCGAGCCGAGGAGUAGCCAAGAGCGAUGAAACAAGCUUCCGGUUCAAGGGUUUCUUCAGGUUCCACUACGGGCUGUUCUUCUGCAGGUGCGCCGAUGUCCACAGUGCUACCUUCUGAUGAGCUACUGCUUUCAUUCAGUUUCUGCUGACUUAAUAUGUGAGCUGACAGAAUGCAGAGACGACCACGUUGUAUGUGAAGCAUCCACUUUGCCUUGUACACCAGGGCAUUCAAUAACCACUUAAUAACUACAACCCUGAUGAUCCGAUUCACUACUAAAGUCUUCCGUGUUUAAAUUUUCAAAGUCAGAUUCUCCUACAGCAAUUGGUACAGUCACAGUAAGACUAGGAUUGUUUAUGAAUGACAUGUAAUCACUUUCAUCAAUAAUGUAUUUUUCAACACUGCUGCCAGUUCCUAUACCACUUGUAGUUCCAUUUACAUCUUUAAGAUAGUCAAGAUCUUUCCCAAUUUCUGUUGUAUGAUUGGACAUACAACUGUUUUUCUUGUUGUUUAGAUCAUCAAGUGGUUUAAUUUCAUCUAAAAUCUUUUGUUUCCUAACGAAGGACUGUUGAAUAAAUUCAU